UACAGAGGAUGCAAGCGUUAUCCGGAAUGAUUGGGCGUAAAGCGUCUGUAGGUGGCUUUUUAAGUCCGCCGUCAAAUCCCAGGGCUCAACUCUGGACAGGCGGUGGAAACUACCAAGCUGGAGUACGGUAGGGGCAGAGGGAAUUUCCGGUGGAGCGGUGAAAUGCGUAGAGAUCCGGAGGAACACCAGAGGCGAAGGCGGCCUGCUGGGCUGCACCUGACGCUGAGCCGCGAAAGCCAGGGGAGCGAACGGG
rnacentral:rRNA from 1 species